GAUGAACGCUGGCGGCGUGCCUAAUACAUGCAAGUCGAGCGAACAGAUGAGGAGCUUGCUCCUCUGACGUUAGCGGCGGACGGGUGAGUAAAACGUGGAUAACCUACCUAUAAGACUGGGAUAACUUCGGGAAACCGGAGCUAAUACCGGAUAAUAUAUUGAACCGCAUGGUUCAAUAGUGAAAGACGGUUUUGCUGUCACUUAUAGAUGGAUCCGCGCCGCAUUAGCUAGUUGGUAAGGUAACGGCUUACCAAGGCAACGAUGCGUAGCCGACCUGAGAGGGUGAUCGGCCACACUGGAACUGAGACACGGUCCAGACUCCUACGGGAGGCAGCAGUAGGGAAUCUUCCGCAAUGGGCGAAAGCCUGACGGAGCAACGCCGCGUGAGUGAUGAAGGUCUUCGGAUCGUAAAACUCUGUUAUUAGGGAAGAACAAAUGUGUAAGUACCUAUGCACGUCUUGACGGUACCUAAUCAGAAAGCCACGGCUAACUACGUG
rnacentral:rRNA from 1 species